rnacentral:rRNA from 1 species
AUUGAACGCUGGCGGCAUGCUUUACACAUGCAAGUCGAACGGUAGCAGGCCUUCGGGUGCUGACGAGUGGCGAACGGGUGAGUAAUGCAUCGGAACGUGCCCAGAGGUGGGGGAUAACGCAGCGAAAGCUGUGCUAAUACCGCAUGUGAUCUGAGGAUGAAAGCGGGGGACCAGGCAGCAAUGUUUGGCCUCGCGCCUUUGUAGCGGCCGAUGUCAGAUUAGGUAGUUGGUGGGGUAAAGGCCUACCAAGCCGACGAUCUGUAGCUGGUCUGAGAGGACGACCAGCCACACUGGGACUGAGACACGGCCCAGACUCCUACGGGAGGCAGCAGUGGGGAAUUUUGGACAAUGGGCGCAAGCCUGAUCCAGCAAUGCCGCGUGCGGGAAGAAGGCCUUCGGGUUGUAAACCGCUUUUGUACGGAACGAAAAGGCUCUGGCUAAUACCUGGGGCUGAUGACGGUACCGUAAGAAUAAGCACCGGCUAACUACGUG